rnacentral:rRNA from 1 species
GACGAACGCCGGGCGGCGUGCUUAACACAUGCAAGUCGAACGAAAAGAGGGGAAGAGCUUGCUCUUUUCAGAAUUGAGUGGCAAACGGGUGAGUAACACGUAAACAACCUGCCUUCAGGAUGGGGACAACAGACGGAAACGACUGCUAAUACCGAAUAAGUUCCAAGAGCCGCAUGGCCCAUGGAAGAAAAGGUGGCCUCUACCUGUAAGCUAUCGCCUGAAGAGGGGUUUGCGUCUGAUUAGCUGGUUGGAGGGGUAACGGCCCACCAAGGCGACGAUCAGUAGCCGGUCUGAGAGGAUGAACGGCCACACUGGAACUGAGACACGGUCCAGACUCCUACGGGAGGCAGCAGUGGGGAAUCUUCCGCAAUGGGCGAAAGCCUGACGGAGCAACGCCGCGUGAGUGAUGACGGCCUUCGGGUUGUAAAACUCUGUGAUCCGGGACGAAAAGGCAGAGUGCGAAGAACAAACUGCAUUGACGGUACCGGAAAAGCAAGCCACGGCUAACUACGUGCCAGCAGCCGCGGUAAUACGUAGGUGGCAAGCGUUGUCCGGAAUUAUUGGGCGUAAAGCGCGCGCAGGCGGCUUCCCAAGUCCCUCUUAAAAGUGCGGGGCUUAACCCCGUGAUGGGAAGGAAACUGGGAAGCUGGAGUAUCGGAGAGGAAAGUGGAAUUCCUAGUGUAGCGGUGAAAUGCGUAGAGAUUAGGAAGAACACCGGUGGCGAAGGCGACUUUCUGGACGAAAACUGACGCUGAGGCGCGAAAGCGUGGGGAGCAAACAGG